ACAUGAGGCUCACUUAGAGCCUCGCUAACGUGGGGAGGUUAGGCAUCCACUUGGGUAGCGACAGCAUCAUUCUGGAGAAACGGCAUCCAGAGGCAGGGUUAUCAGCCCUGGUCGGAACCGUUUC
rnacentral:sRNA from 12 species